UCCCAUUCCACAACAGUCUAUCUUCAGAAAAGAAAAGGUGAGGUUUCCACAAUAGUCUAUCUUCAGAAAAGAAAAGGUGAGGUUCGUAGCUGAAAAUUGCUGCAGUACUACUUUGGUUCACAGAAUAUCCGGAUCCUUGGAUACAGUGUCCAACAUGCAUAGCAUAGUUGCUGGUGUGAUGCAACAAGGAUAAACCCAGAACAUGGAAGUAUACCUCCCAUUCUGAUUGUGGAGCUGUGUGCAUUGAACUGCCAACCAAUUGCGAGGCGGGAUGAUCCUAUCAAAAAAUAAAAUAGAAUUGCGAGACGGGAUGGAGAAAGAUCUCACAUGGCGUCUGGCGCAGCAAGUGGCCUAGCUAGUACUCUAGAUAAGUGGGGAAACCAUGAGAAAAUGGGAUGGACUAGUAUCAUGCAUGCAUAUGGGCACACCAUUGUCCAAACCUUUAUUUAUUUAUUUAUUUAUGACUAGAACUUGCAGCAAAAAGGUGCACCACGAACUCCACUCAUGUCCACGCAUAUGUAAGCUCGUUUGUAGGAGAUGGAAAGUACCACGACUGAGUGUUCAAGCCAAAUGUAAACAUCUUGCUGAUCGCCAGCUUCGACUGGA